rnacentral:rRNA from 1 species
AAAUAGCCGCAGUAUCUUGACUGUGCGAAGGUAGCAUAAUCAUUUGUCUUUUAAUUAAAGGCUUGUAUGAAUGGUUGGAUGAGGGAAUUACUUUCUUUAUAUUAAAAAAUUGAAUUUAAUUUUUAAGUUAAAAAGCUUAAAUUUUUAAGUGGGACGAGAAGACCCUAUAGAAUUUUAUUAUAAAUUUUAUAUUUAAUUUAUGGUUAUUUUUAUAUAUUUAUUUGAAUAAUUUUAUUGGGGUGAUAUUGAGAUUAAAAAAACUCUCAUAAUUUAAUAUUUAAUUAUUUUUAUUUUUAGGAUCCUAUUUUAUGGAUAUUUAGAUUAAAUUACCUUAGGGAUAACAGCGUAAUUUUUCUGGAGAGUUCUUAUCGAUGGAAAAGUUUGCGACCUCGAUGUUGGAUUAAAAUUAGAUUUAA